UGUCACCCUGGGGCGCUCCGGGUGCCCGCUCAGUGCUGCAGGCUGGCUGUGGCGUGGUGAUGGACGGCGCUCUCAGCACAGCGAUAAACAGAUCGAUAGCAAAGCCUGCCCGGGGGCUGGAGGUGCGGCAAGGCAGCCGUGGCCUCAAAGUCUUGCUGGGACCCUUCUAAAAUCCAUUUGUACUUCUGCAAACAAUCGGAGCCUUGCUGGCAGCUGAGAAACACUGGGCUGAGCAAGGUGCAGGAGGUGCCCGGCGCUGCUCGGGAGCGGCCGGUGCUCCUUGGGAAGAGCAGGAAGCAGGGAAGCCUCAAACACAAUUAACUUCCAGCACUAAUGAAGCACGCUGCCUCAGCAAGCACGCCAAGCCCGGAGAACGGGAGGCAGGACCGAUGGAGGAGGAUGGACACAGGCUUGCCCUGGUGUUGCCCAAGCACCCCUGGAGGGUGGGUGCCACAGAGGGUCACUGAGGACGAGCCCCCAGUCGUCCCCCUCCAGGCAGCCAGGUGACAAAUUUCUGUGAGCCCAGGGCCAGGUUUCUUAAGCAGGGGCCGGGGCUUGUUCUGCACCGCAGCUGCAUCCACUCAUCACCCCCAGAAACCACCUGCAGGUGCGGGUUUGGGUUUCCCUGCUGUGCAAGGGCUGAUGCCCCCAGGGCUGGAAAGCUGUUGCUCCAGGAGGACAAGGCAUGCUAAACAAGGCAGGCAGCAGUAAUUAAUUACCUGUAUUGACACUGAGCAGCCUGCUCAUUGAGUUGCCCUCAGCCUAAGCAGCCCUGGCUCCCCGGGACCUGCCUGGUUUCCCACCUUCCCCAACCCCCACGGGGACCUGUCCCACCCAGCUCCGUGCAGCUCGGGCUGUGGGAUGGACAAACCCCCCCCGUGGGAGCCCCGGCAGCCAGGCACCCACACGGUUGUGUCCCUCGCUGCUGCCGUGAUGUCAGAGACACCAGAUGUCCCGGUUACUGCCCAAUUUAACAGCGCCUAAAUGAGGUCACUGCCAUCAGCCAGGCAAUUAUGUCCUGGGAGCCAUUUGCUAACGUGAUUAAGCCAGCUCUCCUGCCUGGUUUUAGCGACUGGCUGAGAGCAGCGCCCUUGGAAAAAGCAAAGCAAGGAGGGAGUGGUGCCGGACCCACCACCGAGCUGUGCCAAUCCACCCCACUCAGCAGCUUUUUGGCUCGGCUGUGCCAGGAACGGCUCGGUUUGUCUCCGGGAGUGCCGGCAUGAGGACUUGGGAGCAGAGACGUGGAGCAUCGCCGUGUGCGGUACCUGCGAGCUCAGCUUGGCCAGCUCACGUCCGUCCAUGGCUGCAGCUGCUGCUGCUCGCUGAUUUUUAUUUCCCACCCUGUUUCGCUCCAGAAGCGACAGAAAGGCCGUUCCGGAGCCACACCACGUGCCCUGUCAUUUGUAAGCAGAAAAGAUGGGGCUUAAUGACGUGCCAGAUCUGCUGUGUUGGAGGCAGUGGAGCCUGGGGGAAUUUCUUUGCUGCUUUUUUUUCUUUUUUUUAAGAAGAUCGUCUUAUUACAGAUGUCACACUGAGUAUUCUCAUUGCAGUAAAUAAGAAAACGCCACCACAACGGGCUGUGCCCCAGGGGCCACCCCCACCCCGCUCCCCUUUCCCGGCCUGGGGGUGGUAUGACCACGACCAGGAGCAUCUGCUGGGGAAGCCACAGCCCUUCCCCUUCCAGCUCCAGCACAGCCUUAAUUAAAAAAUAAACUGUGAGACACCAUAAAAAAUUAACACUUAAAUAUGCUCCUGGGGAAGCCUUUGUGCAGGGCAUCAGGCAAAACCCCGCCGGCUGCGGCCAGGGGCAGGGCAUGGGACACCAUCUGCCAAAAUGUGGUGCUGCUUCCCUGCCAGGCUGCUGCUACAUCAUUUAACCUCUUCUGAAACGCCAGCCCGCUGUGUGUCAUGCAGGGAGCCCCCCGAGCCCUGCCUGCAGCCUCAGGCUCGCCUUUUACAGCGCUUUUUUUGCAUUCAGCUGCAUUUUGCUACUGCGGCUCCCGGGCAAAGGCAGCCGUCCCCUCGCCCAGCACGCUGGGGCUGAUCAAACUCGCCCAGCUCCAGGCGUGCUGCCGCUCACGUGAGAUGAUUGCUGCUAAUUACAGCUCUCAGCAGCCAGAUGCCAAGCCACGGGCUCUGGGCACCUCUUGGUGCUCGCCCAGGGAUGCUCCCCAUGGCUAAGCCCAGCCCUGCUAGGGGCCUCACCCCCCAGCCCCGGUCCCUGAGCAGAGCUGGCUGCAACCCCCUGAUAUUUCUGGAGAAGAAAUCUCUCUCCCAGAUGCCUCCAGGCUCUUUGGAAAGCAUCAUCUCAGUGCUAUCGCAGAAGCAGGGGGCGGCAUCCCCAAAUAUUCCACUUCUGAUCUGGGUGUUUGGGUGUCAGAGAGCAGGGAUGUGUCGGCUGGGGGAUGGAGGAGCAGAGGUGAUGGCUGGUACCGAACCCAUCACACCAACCCCACAAUGUCUUGUUGUUUUCUGGAGAAAAGGCAGGCUUUUGUGCAAGCUGACACGACCCGGGCAGAGGUGGGGUGCCCGCAGCUUCUCCUGGCACCUGCUGAGAUUUCGGGUUGGGAUUUGGGCUCAGCCUCCCCAUCCCCUGCCCGCUGGGUGCAGAGGGCUCAGACGCGGCUCCUGCUCCCGGGUCUGCCCCGUGGCGCCGCUCCCCCGCCUCGCACAGCCUGGUACCGCGUUAAUUACUGCACGGGGAAGGCUAAGAUGUAAAUUACAGCCCGAUGAGUUCUAAUUGCACGUUCUGAACACACGGGCCUCGUUGCUAAUUAUCCCCGUUCUCCCAAGCAGCUUAAAAAAAAAAAAUAAAUCAGAAGCCUUGAACUGCGUCUUCCGAGGAGCACGGCUGCUGAGGCAGGAGCACGAAUGAGAAUUAGGGAAUGAAAUCUUUGACCCAUGGAGCCACAGAGUCAUCGGAGCUGGAAAAGGCCUCCAAGCCCAUCAGUGCAACCAUCAGCCCGACCUUCUGAGUCCCACCACUAACCACGCAUGUCCCUUAGUGCCCCAUCCACACGCCUCCUGAAUACCUCCGGGGACGGGGACUCCACCACCACCUCCUUGGCACCCUGGCCCGAUGCCCAACCACCCUUUUUUUUUUUUCCCUCGUGACACGGACAACAGCUUCAUCAAACUGAGCCUCGCACCUGUCCGUAAAAACACCUGCAGGUGUUAAUUGUACACGGCCACAGCUCCGCGUGGUCCUGCCGAAACCUCAGGUAACAUGGGACCGAGCAGGUAACACACGGCCAUCUCACGGAUUGCUGGAGACCGAGGAUUUGAUGCUGUUGGCAGGAUUUUUAGGACAGAGACCACAAUUUGCCCAAAGUGUCACUGAGUUGCUUGGAUUUUCUGCAUGUGUGGUGCGAGGACUUGCUGUAAACACGAUUGCUUUUGUUACUCGUUGACUGGAGGAAACAUUUCUGAUGACGCAGCUUUUGCAGAGCCCUCUCGGGGCAUUUUUUUCCCCCGUUUUCCUGAAUUUCUGCAGGGGAGCCGCUGUCCCCGAGGUCUGAGCACCAAGUACUGGCCUUUGGACACCAGGGGCCGGUGGUGAGCUUGCACCAGGCUCGCUCCUGCUGCCGGAGCGGUGCCGGCAGCCCGAGCAGCAGUGAUGGAUGGCCCCGGGUCCGCUGCUUAACUGCUGGAAGUGCCCCAGAAGAGAGGUUAACUAAUCCGCCUGUGAUUUAUACUGGAGGUACCUCGGCAAAACGGACGCAGGUUUUAUGUGGCUUUUUUUUUUUUUUUUCCUCUCGAAAGGAACGUGACAUCCAUUUCUCACAGGCUGGUAAUUUAACCAAGCGACUUUGCCUUUUGGAAGGUGCCGAGGAGGGCAGCGCUGCUGGCAGGGCUGUUGCCACCGCCUGCUUUGAGCCGUCGCUGCUCCGUGAUGCCUGCCAGGCCUUGCCUUUGCCCUGGGCUCGCGGCGUGGCUCAGAGGUGGUUUCAUUCAGCUCGACACCUUCACAGCAGCUGGCAGGAUGCUUGGAAAGACGUCUGCAUCCCCACAACUUGUCCAGGCCUUGUGAUGGUCGGGUGUCGGGCUGGGCUGCCCAGGGAGGUGGUGGAGCCCCCGUCCCCGGAGGCAAAUGAGCCUGGGACAAGUGAGGGAUAACGCUUGUCUUUGCUGGGAGCUCCUGCUGGGCUCGAUGCUGCUCUCUUUCAUCCCUUACCCAGUUCUUGUUAGCGAAGCUCCAGCAGAUGCUACAGCCAGGAGCGUGGAGGACCCAUCUCACCACCCAGCCCCUAAAGCAGGCUGUCCUGAAACAGCCCCGCAGAGGUUAAUUUGGGUGAUUGUACAGAUGUCUCUGCACAAGGCAUGGGUUUCAUUUAAAAGACUGAAAACACACCAAAUAGCCUCGAUUUCCCUGCAGCAGUUUGGGCAACCGUCUCCCUUGCACCAUCCCUGCUGACCUUCUCUGAAAUGUCCCCAUGCAAGUGCAUUUUGGGUGGCAGCAGAUGCCCAAGCAAGCCCAGGGUGCCUCUAUACACACGUGUGCACACACACACACACACACACAAGGCACGAUCAGGCUCCUGCCAGGCUCCCCUGCACUCACUCAGCCCCGUUAGCUCCAGGGCACCGACUGGCUGCUGCAGACUGGUCUGCUCGGAAGGGAUGGUGAUUAACCACUUGUUGCAAUCAAGAAGCAGUUGCUCUGGAAGGGCACGGUGCAGUCUCAUCGCAGGCCUUCUCCCAUUCAGAAAGGGGCGUUGGAUAGGAGGCGGCGGCACUGGGUUUGCAGUGACCUCCCUGUAGCUGUGUGCAGUGUGCGAAGGAAAAAGAACAAAGCCCGAUUCCUGGCCCAGCGAGCUCAGACCCAAACCCCCCCAGGAAUCCCAGAGACAUGGGGCAGAGCCUCGCUGAUGUCCUGCAUCCAAAUCCUGCUGCCCUCCUCCAAAUUUUCACCCGUUGCGAGAUCCAAAAAUAUUACUAUCCCACUGUAAAUUUUUGCAUCCAGUGUUUGAAAACCUGCUAAUCAUAGGCAAAAGCUGAGCUGAUCACACGCCUUUAACUACAAGGAUGCCCGCACCAUUGGGGCUGUUCUGCUAAAAGCAGUGGCGGCUGCGAACUCAAACCAGAGAUAAUUAAAAACUAGCGGGCAAGCUGGCUUAGCUGGUGAU